rnacentral:rRNA from 1 species
AAAAACAUCGCCUCCUGCAAAACUUCAAUGUAUAGGAGGUCUUACCUGCCCAGUGACAAAAUGUUAAACGGCCGCGGUAUCUUGACCGUGCUAAGGUAGCGCAAUCACUUGUUUUUUAAAUGAAGACCUGUAUGAAUGGUGAAACGAGGGCUUAACUGUCUCCCCUUUUUAGUCAAUGAAACUGAUCUGCCCGUGCAGAAGCGGGCAUAAAUCUACAAGACGAGAAGACCCUUUGGAGCUUCAGACACAAGGCCAACUGUGCUCAAAACCAAAUAAAAUGGAAUAAAACAAACAGCAACUGGCCAAAGUCUUCGGUUGGGGCGACCAUGGGGAAAAACAAAACCCCCACGUGGAAAUAGGCCACUCCCUAAACUAAGAGAGACAUCUCCAAGCCACAGAACAUCUGACCAUUAAGAUCCGGUUAUUAUACCGAUCAACGGACCAAGUUACCCUAGGGAUAACAGCGCAAUCCCCUUCAAGAGUCCAUAUCGACAAGGGGGUUUACGACCUCGAUGUUGGAUCAGGACAUCCUAAUGGCGCAGCCGCUAUUAAGGGUUCGUUUGUUCAACGAUUAAAGUCCUACGUGAUCUGAG